rnacentral:snRNA from 13 species
AUCUGUUCUUAUCAGUUUAAUAUCUGAUACGUCCCCCAUCGGGGGACUACAUAUUAAAUGGAUUUUUCGAACAGGGAGUCGGAAAUGGGGCUUGCUCCGUCCGCUCCACGCAUCGACCCGGUAUUGCAGUACCUCCGGGAACGGUGCAACACUU